UCAGCAUGUGUGUUAGUGGAAGCGUCUGGAAAGGCGCGCGAUACAGGGUGACAGCCCCGUACACAAAAGCGCAUGUGCUGUGAGCUCGAUGAGUAGGGCGGGACACGUGGUAUCCUGUCUGAAUAUGGGGGGACCAUCCUCCAAGGCUAAAUACUCCUGACUGACCGAUAGUGAACCAGUACCGUGAGGGAAAGGCGAAAAGAACCCCGGCGAGGGGAGUGAAAAAGAACCUGAAACCGUGUACGUACAAGCAGUGGGAGCCCCACCACUAAGCCAGUGGUGAACUCCACAUACGCAUCCUUUGCUGAGGAUACGGUUAACGGAGCGAAAGCGACGUUCAACCGCAAAAGAAGCAGAGGGGGCUUAGUGGUGGGGUGACUGCGUACCUUUUGUAUAAUGGGUCAGCGACUUAUAUUCUGUAGCAAGGUUAACCGAAUAGGGGAGCCGGAGGGAAACCGAGUCUUAACCGGGCGUUAAGUUGCAGGGUAUAGACCCGAAACCCGGUGAUCUAGCCAUGGGCAGGUUGAAGGUUGGGUAACACUAACUGGAGGACCGAACCGACUAAUGUUGAAAAAUUAGCGGAUGACCUGUGGCUGGGGGUGAAAGGCCAAUCAAACCGGGAGAUAGCUGGUUCUCCCCGAAAGCUAUUUAGGUAGCGCCUCGUGAAUUCAUCUCCGGGGGUAGAGCACUGUUUCGGCUAGGGGGCCAUCCCGGCUUACCAACCCGAUGCAAACUGCGAAUACCGGAGAAUGUUAUCACGGGAGACACACGGCGGGUGCUAACGUCCGUCGUGAAGAGGGAAACAACCCAGACCGCCAGCUAAGGUCCCAAAGUCAUGGUUAAGUGGGAAACGAUGUGGGAAGGCCCAGACAGCCAGGAUGUUGGCUUAGAAGCAGCCAUCAUUUAAAGAAAGCGUAAUAGCUCACUGGUCGAGUCGGCCUGCGCGGAAGAUGUAACGGGGCUAAACCAUGCACCGAAGCUGCGGCAGCGAACGUAUCACUUAAAGCGAUUCAGCGGGUUACGAUUGACGGAGCGAAGCGACGUCAAAGCGUAUACAAAGUCGAGUCGGUUUAAGGAUACGUUCGUUGGGUAGGGGAGCGUUCUGUAAGC
rnacentral:rRNA from 1 species